rnacentral:lncRNA from 1 species
UUAAAUGGAAAGGGAAGUCGGCCAUUACAAAUAGAAAUCUUGAAAGAAUGAGAGCUAAAAAGGUUAUUCAAACGAGUUCUGCAGCUGUUACCAAAACUCAAGGCAAAAACAUUUCAACUAGGAAGACUCAUGUGCCAUAGAAGCGGGACAUCUUGCUGAUAUGAUGUGUCUAUUUUGGUGGAGAUUAUUGAUAUCGUCACAAACAAUUAGUUUUGUAUGUUUUGUU